UACGAAGGGGGCUAGCGUUGUUCGGAAUUACUGGGCGUAAAGCGCACGUAGGCGGAUUGCUAAGUCAGGGGUGAAAUCCUGGAGCUCAACUCCAGAACUGCCCUUGAUACUGGCGGUCUCGAGUCCGGGAGAGGUGAGUGGAACUGCGAGUGUAGAGGUGAAAUUCGUAGAUAUUCGCAAGAACACCAGUGGCGAAGGCGGCUCACUGGCCCGGUACUGACGCUGAGGUGCGAAAGCGUGGGGAGCAAACAGG
rnacentral:rRNA from 1 species